rnacentral:other from 1 species
UGCAUCCUGAGAUGAUCGUCAGACUUAUUCGUUCAACCUACAUAAUGUAUAAGGGAUCUUUUAAAUUUAGUCCAAUGUCAGGCUUCUGACGCUAAUGUACUUAGCUAAAAGUAGUAGACAGAAGGCUAAUGCAAAGAACCCACCUGCGAGAGUGCGGGUGUGAAAUGAUAAGUGCAACGACAUAUUGGGAUAUAU